UACGAAGGUGGCAAGCGUUGUUCGGAUUCACUGGGCGUACAGGGUGUGUAGGCGGUUUGGUAAGCCUUCUGUUAAAGCUUCGGGCCCAACCCGGAAAGUGCAGAGGGUACUGCCAGGCUAGAGGGCGGGAGAGGAGCGCGGAAUUCCCGGUGUAGCGGUGAGAUGCGUAGAGAUCGGGAGGAAUACCAGUGGCGAAGGCGGCUUUCUGGGUUACCACUGACGCUGAGGAGCGAAAGCGUGGGGAGCGAACGGG
rnacentral:rRNA from 1 species